rnacentral:lncRNA from 1 species
UUGUCCUCCUUCAGUCUCUUUCUCCACCACCGCCCGGCACGCUCUGCUGAUCUAAAAUCAGAGCAAUUAGUAAUGAAUUCUCUGGAACAGCAACUCCUACAGACACUCAAGCUCUGCCCUCGCGCCAGCGCCUCCCAGCCCUCUCCCAGCAACCAGAUCCUGCCUCAACAACGGACCGUGUCCAUUUAACGGAGGAAAAGCCCCACCACUCAUGGUGUUUAAGGCUGGCCGUGCCCCAGGACCAAACGUUCCUGCUCCCAAAGCGAGAGGCAUGGUGAUAGGGCACCACUACACAGAGGUGGGUCCCCCCGUGCCUGAGCCUUCCCCUGAGAAAAGGUGAGUCUUUUUCUUUUAAAUUCUGUA